UCGGAGGCGGCGGCUCUACAAACUGCGCACGACCCACUAGAUUGAAGUGUAGCAACUUUUGAUUGAGCCAUAAUACAAGUAUUUAGUCCAUCCAUUGCACAGAUUAGAUAGAUGCAGCCAAGUGAAACUAUAGAAAAUAUGUUAGCAAACAGAUGUGCAGAUAACAAGUGAAAACAAAAAAUUGAGCAACCUGACGCAACACACAUUACAUUUUUCACCUUUCAGUAAUUUAUUAUACGGAAAAGUGAACCGAUUUAGCGAGAGUUUAUGCUGCAUAUAAAUUUGGGCUCUUUGAAUAAUAUUUCGGAUAGAUCUUCGCGGGAAGAGAAGCAGUUGGACACAUCAUCAACCAGCAGCAUUUAUUUAUAUUAUGUAUACUAGCUGCGCUCCGGGGCUCCACUCCUGUACAAAUUUCGGGAUAAGAAAUGCCAUAUGUGCUAUUCCACUCAUUGGUCCUGUAUGUGUCCUGGAUAACAGCCGAAGAAAAUGCAAUGUAGACAAGAGUGUAAGCGAGGUCCCGGUUGCCUGCAUACAAAGCACAGACAUGAUGUAGCCUACAACAAAAUGAAAUUAUAUGAGCAAGAUUAAAAC